rnacentral:rRNA from 1 species
GGGUUGUGAGGUUAAGCGAAUAAGCGUACACGGUGGAUGCCUAGGCAGUCAGAGGCGAUGAAGGACGUGCUAAUCUGCGAUAAGCGCCGGUAAGGUGAUAUGAACCGUUAUAACCGGCGAUUUCCGAAUGGGGAAACCCAGUGCAAUUCGUUGCACUAUCAUUACCUGAAUAC